rnacentral:rRNA from 1 species
UACGGGGGGGGCAAGCGUUGUUCGGAAUUACUGGGCGUAAAGGGCUCGUAGGCGGCCAACUAAGUCAUACGUGAAAUCCCUCGGCUUAACCGGGGAACUGCGUCUGAUACUGGAUGGCUUGAGAUUGGGAGAGGGAUGCGGAAUUCCAGGUGUAGCGGUGAAAUGCGUAGAUACCUGGAGGAACACCGGUGGCGAAGGCGGCAUCCUGGACCAACACUGACGCUGAGGAGCGAAAGCCAGGGGAGCAAACGGG